GCGCCACCCCGGUAACCCCGGCGAGGAAACGCGCUCUUUCCUUUUUCUUCUCCCCUCCCCCCUCCCCUUUCUCCCUAGAGGCAGCUCCCGUCCUCUAAAUGCAUUACACACACACACACACACACACACACACACACACACACACACACACACGGGAAAUCUCUGGGGCUCUCCUUUUUCCACCGGUCUCGCCUCCUCCUAACACUGGUGUUGGUCGAACAAGCGCGAAACUCACAGAAGUUUCCCCGAAAACGAACAGCUUUAAAUGCCAGGAGGGAAAAUGUCGGGGGAAAAAGUGGAGGUCGGUGUUUCCCUAAAUGCAAAACAUCAGAGAGGAAUCUGAAAAGAGCUUUACUUUCCCUGCGAAAUCUCCAUUGUUGCUCAGCAAACAAUGGGAGCCUGGGCGACUGGAGGGCUGUGCGAAUGAAUAGGCGAUCCGCGGGAUGUGUGCGGGUCAGUGCCUGGGGUCCCGGGCCUAAAGCCCCUUUCUCAGCUUGCCACAAUAAACCAGCGCAAGGUUUAGUCCUUACUGGGUCACCGGCCAUCCUCUAUUAUUCAACACUUCACAACAAAAAACACUUAUUAAUCAGCGCUGACCAGAGGCCCCUUUUGAAACAAGAGAAGAGGGGAGAGAGAGAGGGAGUGAGAGAGAGAGGGGUGAAAAGAAGAUUGAGAAGCCCUGGACAGAUCUUUCUAAAGCCAGAGCAACCAUGGGGUACUUUCCUCCAGUGGCCAAAGUUUAUUUGACACAACAAAGUUUCUAAUCAGGCCACGGAGACCUGGAUUUCUCCUCAUUUGCCUCACUCCCGGUCUCUUCCUCUGAAGAUGCUGGAGACUUUGUUGCAAGAAAGGAUGGCUUUAGGUCAUGUUGCUGAGGCCUGAUCUUAAAGAUCUAAUUGCUAUUGGAAGAGAAUCCUGUUUCCCAACUGGGCCUCCCCUCUGGAGAUGGAGCAAGGAAGACUGUCCAACUCUGCUCUGGGCACCCUGCUGAUGGAUGAGGUGUCAGGCCAGUCGUCAUGUGAGGACUGGUUUCCAAAUGCAGAUACAAAAAGAAAAAUUACUGUCAUGUGAUGUGUGAUCCAUGAUACCGUCAUAGUUUUGUUUUGCUGUGCUCCACCUUCAUACCUUCGCCUAUGUUAGAACUUCUGAGAAGCUGAAGCAUCACAUAUAAAAAGCCAAGACCAUCCUCAAGGAGUUUAAUGAAUGUGGCAUCACAAGAAAAAUAUGCAUCAACAUUGAAAAAUAUGGUGCCUCCCUCUGGAACAGAGCGCAGUUAUAUUUCCUGCAUAGUAUGGAAAAGAAAUAAAAUUCCAUUAACAGAGCUUGAGGAAGUGGACUUGACUAAGCUGGAGUAAGGAGUGCAGAGAGUGAGGAGACAGGAUGCGAAACAAGAAGAUGAGGAAACUGAAGCCUGAGAACAACAUGAAUUCUACAAUACAUUUACCGUCAGAAGGCAGCGGUGUCAACGGCCACGACGACACCUGGAACUGAUUCCAAGACUUGUGGUCACCGUGGGAAUGCUAUUUAUUGUACAUAGUGACUCACAAAUCUAGGUUAUGUGAACUAUAAAAAGCCUGACUCAGAACUCCAGAGAGUAAGGAGCUAAUACUUUUUGAAAUAUAGGCCAUAGACUGUGAUAUAACGAUGUUUGUAGAGUUAUUUCUCAAGGCAGCAUUAUUCAAAGCAGCAUUCGACAUAGUCAUACAUCCAUUAAUGAAUAUGUGUCAUGACAUUAACCAAAAUAGCUUCAGAUAACAAUUAGCAUACGUACUUCUGGGCAUAUUUGGUGAGAGAGAAGGAAGUAGAGGUAGGACUGAGGUUGGAAGUGUGGGAAGGGGGAGGGACUCUAGCAAAGAAAGAAGGGUGGGCGCUGUGGAGGGCCAGUGAGGGAGGGGAACUGAGGCCAGGAUCCCCCAGCAGCCCAGGUCUGAGUCAUGGGGAGAGGACUGGAGGAUCUGGGAGAAGGACCAUGAAGCUUUCUUCUGCCCCAGCUCAACUUCGAUGUCACCCAAAAAUGUUAAGUUUCCCUUCAGGUCCUGCAUUUGAAUGAUUUUAGUUCUUCCUCCCUUACUCCAAAUUUCCCCAACAUUUAUCAAUAGCUGACAUUCCGUCAGAUACUGAGAAUUAAGAUGACCUAAAACGCAAAGGCUUGGAAAAGACAAUGGUCCCUUAGUGGAAAUAAAAAAUAGAACAAAUCCAUCAAAUGGAAAAGACUGAGGUGUGAUCAUUUCCUGUUUUGACUAAGGAGAGAAUCUGAAAACAGGAUACCAGCUACCUCAUCUAGGGGAGAAGAAGGAAUAAGGUUUUAAAAAGAGGGACAUGAAGACACAGAAUGAAACCUUCAAUAGCAUCACCACUCACAGUGGGGCCGUGGAAGGAGCUAAGCACCAAGUGUAUCAUACUCUGCAGCCAGGAAAGGGAGUUUUACCCUUAAAUGAUUUAUGAAGAUUCUGUGGGGGUGUUUUGUAGAUGUUAUUGGGAGUUUUAUUGUUUGCUAUUUCUGUUGUUUUUAACAUCGCUAGCUUCCUAUAAAGAAUUUUUCCCCCCAGGGGAUUCUAUCCCUGUAACUAUAUUGACUUAAUUCUGGAGCACCAGUGCAAUUAAAAGACAGUUCUAAUUAAUAGGCAAUAGAAUGGUUGUAUGUAAAAGAUUUCAGCAGUUUAUGCUUGGUGCACUAAACGAAUCUGAAAAAAGUCACAAAAGGCAUCAGAGCUCCAUUAGAAUUUAUCAGCUGAGAUGCUUGGAAUAUUUUUCACACUGGGUAGUCACAUCACUCCCUGCAGUUGAGAUUGGACUGAAAGAAAAAAAGGUCGACAUAUUUUUCUGUACCGGUGGCAGUAAAAUGGCUUCUCAUUUCAACUGAGAAGUACCAACCACCAGAGCAAAAGCACCUUUACAGCAGGAAUUCUACUUCUGACCCACCAAGGAAAAACACGAUAUAAUCACUGUCUCUAAUUUUCCAGCCAGCAGCCAGACUAACUGGGUCUGACUGUAGGAUUUGGGGUCAGACUGCCUGGGUUCCCACCCUGCCUCUGGCCACGAAGAAUAAGUAGAAUCCUGGACAGAUAAACUGAAUCUCUCCGCUUUCAUGUCCUCAUCUGCAAAAUGGGAUAGUAACAGUGCCUUCCUCCUAGGACUUGGUAAAGAUUGCAUGAAUAACUCACAUAAUGCAUUCAGAAUGCUGUUUAGCAGCACAGACAGCACUCGAUGAAUUUUGUGCUACGAUUAUUAUCCAGGUCCAUCAUUAGACACUGUGAUGGGGUGUAAAGAAACUGUAUGAUUAAGCACAUUCCAUACUUCAUAUCAUGAUCCAAUCUAAUAAUGCACAGUAGGGGGUGGAGAGGAAGAGGUUCUGAACUCUGAACUUUCAAAUAAAUGAAGUUCUGCCAUGAAACGCUGCACAAACCAUGACAAUUCCAAGUACUCUUCUAUUAAUGCCAAUGAUUUCCAAGCACUUGAACAAAAGAGGAUCGUUGGUUAUCCACAUAGGCUAAACAGUGUAAAUCUUUCACAUUGUAUUGUAUUAUCACUUAUGUACUUCUUGAAAACCAUUUUAUUGAGGUAUGAUUGACAUACAAAAAGCUGUUCAUAUUUAACCUAUACAACUCAGGGAUUUUGGAGAUGAGUAUAUACCCAUGAAACUAUCACUACUAUCUAUGCCAUAAACCUAUCAUCUCCAAAACUUCCUUUAUUAUAAUUAUUUUUAUGAUAACAGUACUUAACAUAAGAUCUACCCUCUUAGAAAAUUUUUCAGUAUACUAUCCAGUAUUGUUAAGUACAGGCACUAUGCUGUAGAUCUCCAGGACUUAUUCAUCUUGUAUAACUUUAAAAAAUAACAUCCUUGAUAGUCUUACUCCUACAUGCAGUCUUUCUAUAAACUUGCAAUAAAAAUAUUAUUAAGAAAUUUAAACAUUUAUUUCCCUACCUAUCCCAGGACAUCUAGAAAAGCAACACAUUUAUUGAGAAUUUUUGGUCUUUGCAUGAGUCUAAGAGUAAGAAAGUAUGAAUUAAGGUGGUCAAGACAUGCUGAGGGUCAUUUUGCUAAUCUUGUCGGCUUCCCAGGUUCUGAAAUCCCUGCCUGUGUUUGGAGAAUCCUCCCCUUAUUUGGCACAGUGUGCCAUUCUCGCAGUCACAGCAUUGGCAUGAGUCCUAGCCAUACCCAGAUCUUGAAUAGGAAAAAUUGGAUAGCUGCUCUGCAGCGUCCAGGCAGCAGCAGCUAUGACUCUAGGCAAAGCUACAAGUUCCAAGUUCCAAGUUCUGUG
rnacentral:lncRNA from 1 species